GGGAUGUAGCUCAGUGGUAGGGCUUUUGCCUAGGAUGCUGGACCCCCUGGGUUCAAUCUCCAGUCCUA
rnacentral:tRNA from 1 species